GGAGUUUACUCUUCCUGGCAUUGCUUGUAAAUGCUUCCGGCCCAAGUUCUUCCUCUUCAGUUACCUUUGUAUAAGUAUCAUCUGUGAGGACCCUCUCUGAUGAAUGUUGUAGAAGUAGAAGAAGAGUUCUUUGCUACAGUUAGGGGCAUCCAUGGUUCAUUGAACCAAGGCCACUAAGACAGUCUUGCCUGAGAAGGGGUCUAAGGACACUCAAGAGCCUCCUCCCUGAUCCCAUAGGGCCCCUCUGCUUGAGCAAUGACCCUCCCCCAUCCUUGCCCAGAUCCCAACCAGGCUCUGUACCUCCCCU
rnacentral:lncRNA from 1 species